rnacentral:rRNA from 1 species
CCUACGGGUGGCAGCAGUGAGGAAUAUUGGUCAAUGGGCGCGAGCCUGAACCAGCCAAGUAGCGUGAAGGAUGACUGCCCUACGGGUUGUAAACUUCUUUUAUAAAGGAAUAAAGUGAGGCACGUGUGCCUUUUUGUAUGUACUUUAUGAAUAAGGAUCGGCUAACUCCGUGCCAGCAGCCGCGGUAAUACGGAGGAUCCGAGCGUUAUCCGGAUUUAUUGGGUUUAAAGGGAGCGUAGAUGGGUUGUUAAGUCAGUUGUGAAAGUUUGCGGCUCAACCGUAAAAUUGCAAUUGAUACUGGCAGUCUUGAGUGCAGUUGAGGUAGGCGGAAUGUGUGGUGUAGCGGUGAAAUGCUUAGAGAUCACACAGAACUCCGAUUGCGAAGGCAGCUUACUAAGCUGCUACUGACGUUGAUGCACGAAAGUGUGGGGAUCAAACAGGAUUAGAUACCCCAGUAGUC